UACGGAGGGAGCUAGCGUUAUUCGGAAUUAGUCUGGGCGUAAAGCGCACGUAGGCGGCUUUGUAAGUAAGAGGUGAAAGCCCCAGAGCUCAACUCUGGAAUUGCCUUUUUAGACUGCAUCGCUUGAAUCAUGGAGAGGUCAGUGGAAUUCCGAGUGUAGAGGUGAAAUUCGUAGAUAUUCGGAAGAACACCAGUGGCGAAGGCGGCUGACUGGACAUGUAUUGACGCUGAGGUGACGAAAGCGUGGGGAGCAAACAGG
rnacentral:rRNA from 1 species